GCAUCUUCAUCCACCAGUAUAUCUGAAUGCGAAGACAAGGCAGGAAAUCAUCCCCACAGAAUGGAAAGGAAGUGGCAGGAGGCUGGAAGAGAUCGUAGUGCACUACACUGAAGAGACUUGCCCAGACCUGACUUGGGAAGGACCGGGAUAGGAGGCACAGAAGGAAGAGGUACUGCAGAGCUCUGCAUGGCCCCACAGAUGGUCACAGAAUCAUGGAAUGGCUUGGGUUAGAAAGGACCUUAUACCUGGAUGCAGAGCUUUUCACCUCGUGGCUGGUUAUUCCAAAAGGAGUCCUGGUGAGCAGAAACCACCUCAUUAAAAUCCACGUUCUCAGGUCAAGUCAGGCCUUACAGCGCAGGGAUCCUCUCAAAACAGAUUAAAACCAGCAUCAUAAAAAUGUGAUUGUGCCUGCCUUAUUUAGCACCCCUAAUGCAACUCAGGACAAGCAAAUACUUAGAAGCAACCCGCAGUCCAGGU